rnacentral:lncRNA from 1 species
AACAAGGGCUAUAGCUCAGUUGGUAGAGCACCUCGUUUACACGCGCGCCAAUGACUUUUUUUUUCAUAGGAGUCUAUCAUGUAAUCAAAAGAAUUGAUCUGAUUGAUAAAUCGAUGUCUUACUCCAUUUUAGGAAAUAAGAGAACAAUAGCCUGACAAAGGGUUUAAAUGUCAAAUAAAAUCCAUCAUUGAUUUGAGAUAUUGAUAAGGUGAAUACCCAAUCUAUUCAAUGCUAGGCCUAAUGAGUAUAGGG